rnacentral:misc_RNA from 1 species
UGGCUCUCGCACCGAUGAAGAACGCAGCGAAAUGCGAUAAGUAAUGUGAAUUGCAGAAUUCAGUGAAUCAUCGAAUCUUUGAACGCACCUUGCACCUUUUGGUAUUCCGAAAGGUACACCCGUUUGAGUGUCAUUGUAAUCUCACUCCUUCAACUUUGUUGUUGCUGGAUGUGGACUUGGACCUUGUCGUGUUAUAACGACUGGUCUGAAAUGCCUGAGUGCACCCUGCUGUUGCAGCGUCUUCAGUGUGAUAAGCAUCUUCACUGAUUCAAGUUCCUUUGGGACACGUAGCAUUGUGGGCUCUGUGCUGACGAACCGUCUUUGGACAAUCUUUGACAAUUUGACCUCAAAUCGGGUGGGACUACCCGCUGA